UACGGAGGGUGCAAGCGUUAUCCGGAUUCACUGGGUUUAAAGGGUGCGUAGGUGGGCAGGUAAGUCAGUGGUGAAAUCUCCGGGCUUAACCCGGAAACUGCCAUUGAUACUAUUUGUCUUGAAUACUGUGGAGGUCAGCGGAAUAUGUCAUGUAGCGGUGAAAUGCUUAGAUAUGACAUAGAACACCAAUUGCGAAGGCAGCUGGCUACGCGAAUAUUGACACUGAUGCACGAAAGCGUGGGGAUCAAACAGG
rnacentral:rRNA from 1 species